rnacentral:hammerhead_ribozyme from 1 species
AUGCGAAACGGGUCAUUUUGCCGGUGCCGGCAAAAUGACCCGUCGCCCCAGGGUGGCACCUGGGGCCUGAUGAGCAGCCAAGG